AGUGAACGCUGGCGGCGUGCUUAACACAUGCAAGUCGAACGAGAACGGAUUAUAGCUUGCUAUAAUUGUCAGUUAAGUGGCGCACGGGUGAGUAAUGUAUAGGUAAUAUGCCUCUUACUAAGGGAUAACAAAUGGAAACGUUUGCUAAUACCUUAUACUCCUUAUUAACAUAAGUUAAUAAGGGAAAGAUUUAUUGGUAAGAGAUUAGCCUGUAUUGUAUCAGUUAGUUGGUGGGGUAAUGGCUUACCAAGACUAUGACACAUGACUGGUUUGAGGGGGUGGUCAGUCACACUGGAACUGGGACACGGUCCAGACUCCUACGGGAGGCAGCAGUGGGGAAUAUUGCACAAUGGACGAAAGUCUGAUGCAGCAACGCCGCGUGGAGGAUGACACAUUUCGGUGCGUAAACUCCUUUUAUAUGAGAAGAUAAUGACGGUAUUAUAUGAAUAAGCACCGGCUAACUCCGUGCCAGCCGCCGCAGUAA
rnacentral:rRNA from 1 species